CCUACGGGAGGCAGCAGUGAGGAAUAUUGGUCAAUGGACGCAAGUCUGAACCAGCCAUGCCGCGUGCAGGAAGACGGCUCUAUGAAUUGUAAACUUCUUUUGUACGAGGGUAAAUCCCGAUACGUGUAUCGGGUUGAAAGUAUCUUACGAAUAAGGAUCGGCUAACUCCGUGCCAGCAGCCGCGGUAAUACGGAAGAUCCGGGCGUUAUCCGGAUUUAUUGGGUUUAAAGGGAGCGUAGGCGGCAUGUCAAGCGUGCUGUGAAAGGUCCGGGCUCAACCCGGGCCUUGCAGUGCGAACUGGCGUGCUUGAGUCCGCGGAAAGCAGGCGGAAUGCGUCGUGUAGCGGUGAAAUGCUUAGAUAUGACGAAGAACCCCGAUUGCGAAGGCAGCUUGCUGCAGCGGCACUGACGCUGAUGCUCGAAAGCGCGGGUAUCGAACAGGAUUAGAUACCCGGGUAGUC
rnacentral:rRNA from 1 species